GCAAACUCCAACACAAAUGGAACCAAUGUAUUACUGCCAUCUAAUGCUCGAAGAUCAAAACAGAAAAGAAAUAUCUAUUUCAAGCUUCCAAAAGGACAUCAACCAUGAAUUUGAAGAAAUGGCAACUCGAUGUUUUAGUUUACAUGGUAAAGCAAUUGUUGCUGCUUCUAACUAUCACUUUAAUUGCCUGAGCCUCAGCCUGAGCCGGAGCCGGAGCCGGAGUGGGAGCAUUCUUGGAAUAACCAAUUUCCUCCCAUCUCCGCCGAGACGAUGGCCUUGGUAGGUUCUCUGGCACAAUGGUCUCUAGUGCAUUAAGACGCCAGGGAGGGCACAUUCUUCUGUCGCUCCAUCUGUGACCCUUCGGUAUCUGCUUUGAUUCUACAAGUGACAAUCGCAAAUCUUGGGCCGUGGCAAGAUUUCCUUGGCUCGCCAAAUCCAUUUCAAGCCCAAUUAUGAUGCAGGCCAUGCCCAGUACACAUUGGCUUCUCCAUUUCUCGUUCUUAAACCUUUAAACCGUAAAAUUAAUAAAAUUGUAUGUGUAUGUAGAGAUUUUGUACAUAAAUUAUUAAAAAAGAGUGGUUAAAAAAGAGUUGGUUGAA